GUGGGGAAUCUUCCGCAAUGGACGAAAGUCUGACGGAGCGACGCCGCGUGAGUGAAGAAGGCCUUCGGGUCGUAAAGCUCUGUCAUCAGGGACGAACGGCCGGUGGAGUGGAAAGCCACCGGAUUGACGGUACCUGAGAAGGAAGCCACGGCUAACUACGUGCCAGCAGCCGCGGUAAUACGUAGGUGGCAAGCGUUGUCCGGAAUUAUUGGGCGUAAAGCGCGCGCAGGUGGGAUCUUAAGUCCAUUUUGAAAGUUCGGAGCUCAACUCAGUGAUGGGAUGGAAACUGGGAAUCUUGAGUACCGGAGAAGAAAGCGGAAUUCCCCGUGUAGCGGUGAAAUGCGUAGGUAUGGGGAGGAACACCCGUGGCGAAGGCGGCUUUCUGGACGGUGUCUGACACUGAGGCGCGAAAGCCAGGGGAGCGAACGGGAUUAGAAACCCGAGUAGUCC
rnacentral:rRNA from 1 species